CGGCGUGGUUUAGGCAUGCAAGUCGCGCGCGAAAGCAGAUUUCGGUUUGCGAGUAGAGCGGCGAAAGGGUGAGUAAUGCAUAGGCAACCUACCCCCUACUUCGGUAUAGCGUCUGGAAACGGGCGGUAAUCCCGAAUAGCCCCGUAGAAGGACAUCCUUCAGCGGGUAAAGGAGGGGACCUUCGGGCCUUCCGGUAAGGGAGGGGCCUAUGUCCCAUCAGCUAGUUGGUGAGGUAACGGCUCACCAAGGCAUUGACGGGUAGCCGGACUGAGAGGUUGGCCGGCCACACUGGGACUGAGACACUGCCCAGACUCCUACGGGAGGCUGCAGUCGAGAAUCUUCCGCAAUGGGCGAAAGCCUGACGGGGCGACGCCGCGUGUAGGAUGAAGGCCCUUGGGUUGUAAACUACUGUCAGGGGUUAGGAAUGGCGGCAGGCUAAUAUCCUGUCGUUUGACAAAGGCCCCAGAGGAAGCCAUGGCUAACUCCGUGCCAGCAGCCGCGGUAAUACGGAGAUGGCAAGCGUUGCUCGGAAUCACUGGGCAUAAAGGGCGCCUAGGCGGACGAGUCAGUCGGUUGUGAAAGCCCUCGGCUUAACCGAGGAAGUGCAACCGAUACUGCUUAUCUUGAGGUCGAGAGGGGAGAGUGGAACUCCUGGUGGAGCGGUGGAAUGCGUAGAUAUCAGGAGGAACGCCGGUGGCGAAAGCGACUCUCUGGCUCGAUUCUGACGCUGAAGCGCGAAAGCUAGGGGAGCGAACGGGAUUAGAUACCCCGGUAGUCCUAGCCGUAAACGAUGAGCACUAAGUAGUGGCGUUUUCGAUGGCGUCACUGCCGAAGCUAAUGUGUCAAGUGCUCCGCCUGGGGAGUAUGGUCGCAAGGCAA
rnacentral:rRNA from 1 species